UUUUAAAUAUCAUGGGGUUGAAUUAAUAGUUAGCCUUGACAGAUAUCAGUAGCUCAUGCCAUUUCCAGCUAUACCCAAUGUUUGCAGGGUUUGCAGUGUAAAUGAGGGACUAAACACAUGACUCAGCUCCUGAAGGAUGGAUGUGUUAAAGAGACUGAAUGACAGAGCUGGCAGAAUAAGGAGAACAGCAAGUGUGGAAGAAAUCUGUUUCUAACCUGGCAUUUCAAUUAUCUUUACUUGGCAGAGCUCCUCCUAAGAGCACUGAAGGCUCAGGCCCCAGCCAACAAUUUCAUUUGGAUGUUAGGAAAUCUUAAUUAUCUAUCAAAGGCAAGUGACCAUCAGCACCAAGAGCUUGUUCUACAGCUGCCAUAUUCCCCAUCAUCUAUACAGAACACUUUUUUUCUCAUAGUGCUUAGCUGCUGAAUGACUUAUUCUGGAAGACAUCUUCCUAGUAACACGGCUUUGCUAAUUCAGAAAAAGUAUUCCAAUCCAAUCCAAUAAGACAUGUACAUUUAGUUAUUCUGGAGGAGCUCUGUUUCAUUUAAUUUAUACUCCCCCUCUAUGUGAGAGACUCCUGCCCUACCUUUGAAACCUUUAACAUUUAUUUUCUUUUUUGGUGUCCUUUGCGUCCCCUUUUAUACUGCCCGCUUGUAAGCUUUUUUACUUGUGUGUGUCUUGCUUAACUUUCCCAGCAGCAUAUCAAGUAGGAUGCACUUUAUAACUGAAAUGAGCUGUGAUGACAGCUCUGGUCUGUCUCUGUUUUGAUUUGAAAUGCUGUUACGUGAAAUGCUAAGAAGGUGUCUAGACAUGGUGCAGGGUAGGCACCACAUGCACACUGUUAGCAGACAAUAACUAAUUCUUCAGUGCCAGUUGCUUUCCUCCUCCAUGUUAGUUCAGAGGCAAAAAGGGUUGUGUGCCAGUCUUUCCACCUGCACAGGAUGGUUUUAUCCAUCUUUUUUUUUAACAAUAAGCAAAACUAAACAUAGGAAGUCUGUUUCUUAGAAAUUGAAAAGUCAUCUUACCAGUUUCAUUAAAAUGUGUCAUUUUUUGCCUCUGUGUCACAUAAGGGUCCAUUAAUUAUCCUGCUGUCUCUGAACAUGGCUGCAAAGAACAGGGUGACCACCUUUUUCAAUAAAAUUGCAGAUUUACAAUUUUCCAGCUCAGUGAAUUUCUAGUAUUUAAAUAUAUUGAAAGGCCAAUGCCAGGCUUCUCUGCCUUCCUGUGCAUUUUGCUGGGAAGGGGGUGCUAGAAGGGUGCAUGAGCAGAGAACGAAAAGGGGUAGAGGAGAAAAAACUGGGCAGACAGAUAUGAUGGCAUGAAAAUCGUGCAAAAUAGAAGGGAUUAGAGUGCCUGGAGAGACCUGAAGUUCAGAGGGGGCUCUUGGUGCCUCCUCAGCCCUCUCCUUGCUCCCAAGCAGGAGAGAUGAACAUUACUAGGACACCAGACAGGGCAAAGCUGAUCUCUUCUGAGAAAUGGUCCAUCACUGUGACUGUAAGAUGAGGUCCAAUCUGGUCUAAUUGCCUUCUGCCUCUUUGCGAGUUAACUUGCUGAGGGGAUAGCAGGAGAACAAGACACAAACUCUGCACUCAAAUCCAGGUAGGUUUGACACAGCCAUUCAGAAGUGUGGGAUGAUUCAUUCUUCCUGUCUGCUUUUCUGGGUUGGGAAGGGGAAAGAUGAGCCUACGCAGGAUUUUCCUGCUGUUGUCUGCAAUUGAAAAUUUGUUUUCUCCAUCUGCAAAACUGAACGUUCUUCUGGCAACAGAGAACUCGGGAAGAAGAAAAGUGGGGAAAAAAGUAAAAAGUGACUGAAGAAAGAAAAUUAAUUGUGAACUAAAUAAAAAAUAUCAGGAGGAAGAAGGAUGGGGGCUAAUGACAAAAGCAGAGCUGGGGUCUGCAUUUUUUGCCUGUAGCUUGUGAUCCUGACAUAUAACUAAACAACCUCUUGUGGCUGCCUUGCUUGAGUAUGACAGCCUUUCUUACAGACACAAAAUAAUCAAACAUCCAA